rnacentral:tRNA from 1 species
AUUGCUAUAGCUCAGUGGGUAGAGCAACUGACUCAUCAUCAGUCUGGCGCCGGUUCGAGCCCGGCUAGCA